rnacentral:ribozyme from 14 species
ACAGAAGGAAAAGGAGGAAGGACAAAGACGGGGAUAAGAACAACAGAAAAAUGAAAGAAGAUGAUAAUGAUAUCAUAUGAUUUUUUUAAUUGUAAUAUAUAUAGUGGUCUUCCUUUCUCGUUU